GCCGUGGCUCAGUUGGUAGAGCACCUGCUUCACAUGCGGAAGGUGGUGGGUUCAGUCCUCAGCAUCUCCA